UCCUGUGUGGUGCGAACAGUUAAGCACUUGGCUGCUAACCAAAAGGUUGGAGGUUCGAGUUCUCCCAGAGGUG
rnacentral:tRNA from 1 species